GAAGAACGCUGGCGGCGUGCUUAACACAUGCAAGUCGAGCGGUAAGGCCCUUUCGGGGGUACACGAGCGGCGAACGGGUGAGUAACACGUGGGUGACCUGCCCUCAGCUCUGGGAUAAGCCUGGGAAACCGGGUCUAAUACUGGAUAUGACUCCAUGACGCAUGUUGUGGGGUGGAAAGCCUUGUGCGGCUGAGGAUGGGCCCGCGGCCUAUCAGCUUGUUGGUGGGGUGAUGGCCUACCAAGGCGACGACGGGUAGCCGGCCUGAGAGGGCGACCGGCCACACUGGGACUGAGACACGGCCCAGACUCCUACGGGAGGGCAGCAGUGGGGAAUCUUGCGCAAUGGGCGAAAGCCUGACGCAGCGACGCCGCGUGAGGGAUGACGGCCU
rnacentral:rRNA from 1 species